rnacentral:lncRNA from 1 species
CUACAAAAGAAUACUAAUUAGGAUGAACCAUAGUAUAAUCAUGCUAAUUAAGAUGAACAAUUAUAUAAUGCCACAUGUGUUUUAUCAGAUAUAAAGUCACUCCACGUGACAUACUAUGGCUGACAUGUUUGCCACAAGGUUUAUGAAUUAUUAAUGAUAUUUUAAAGAGAUUUCGAGCACUGAUAAAAAUGAUAAUCUCACAUGUGAAAUUAUUCAUGAUAAUCUCACAUGUGAAAAUUAUCGCCUUUUCAAUUAUCGCUUUUCUGUAAAAAUUAUCGCUUUUCAAAGACUGUCCUUUA